CUGAACGCUGGCGGCGUGGCUAAGACAUGCAAGUCGUACGGGUGUAGCAAUACACAGUGGCGAACGGGUGAGUAAUGUAUCGCUAAUGUACCCUGAGUCUGGGAUAGCCGGUCGAAAGGCCGGGGUAAUACCAGAUGACAUGUCCUGUAGGCAUCUACGGGAUCUCAAAGGGCAACCGCUGAGGGAGCAGGCGAUAUCGUAUCAGCUAGGUUGGUGAGGUAACGGCUCACCAAGGCGACGACGCGUAGCUUGGUCUGAGAGGACGGCCAGCCACAUUGGGACUGAGACACUGCCCAGACUCCUACGGGGGGCUGCAGUAACGAAUCUCCCACAAUGCACGCAAGUGUGAUGGAGCGACGCCGCGUGUGGGACGAAGCCCUUCGGGGUGUAAACCACUGUCAGGGAUAGGAAAGUUCUGAUCCAUCCCAGAGGAAGGCACGGCUAACUCUGUGCCAGCAGCCGCGGGUAAGACAGAGGCGCCAAGCUGUUGGCGGAAUCACUGGGCUUAAAAGCGUGUGUAGGCGGAUGCCUAAGUAACCCUUGUGAAAUCCCACGGCUCACCCGUGGAACUGCUGGGUAUACUGGGUGUCUUGAGCCCAACUAGGGGGUCGCCGGAACAAGUGGUUGGAGCGGUGACAAAUGCGUAGAUAUCCACUUGGAACGCCAAAGGUGAAAAACAGGCCGACUGGGGUUGAGCUGACGCUGAGACACGAAAGCCAGGGGAGCGAACCGGGAAUUAGAUACCCCGGUAGUCCUGGCCCCUAAACGAUGUCCCACUAGAUCGUAGCGCCUCUGACGGUGUUAUGGUCGAAGCAAAAGUGCUAAGUGGACCGCCUGGGAAAGUACGGUCGCAAGGCUAAAACUCAAAGGAAUUGACGGGGGCUCACGCAAGCGGUGGAGGAGCAUGUGGUUUAAUUCGAAGCAACGCGCAGAACCUUACCCUGGGCUCUGACAUGCUAGGAUAUCCCGAUGAAAGUCGGGUAGGCCCCGCAAGGGGUACACUAGUUACAGGUGCUGCAUGGCUGUCGUCAGCUCGUGUCGUGAGAUGUUCGGGUUAAGUCCCUUAACGAGCGAAACCUUUGCCCUUAGUUACCAGCGGGUUAAUUGCCGGGGACUCUAAGGGGACUGCCGGUGUACAAACCGGAGGAAGGUGGAGAUGACGUCAAGUCCUCAUGCCUUUAUGCCCAGGGCCACACACGUGCUACAAUGGCGUCGACAGAGCGAACCGAGAGCGCAAGCUGGAGGAAAUCGCACAAAUGGACGCCCCAGUUCAGAUUGGGAAGGCUGCAACCCGCCUCCAUGAAGUUGGAAUCGCUAGUAAUCGCGGAUCAGCUACGCGCGCGGUGAAUGUGUUCCUGAGGCCUUGUACACACAGCCCGUCAAGUCAUGGGAGCCGGAAAUAGCCGAAGCAGCUUCGUCACAGAAGUUACUACGCUAGGUUCGGUGACUGGGGACU
rnacentral:rRNA from 1 species